AAGAAUGAAAUGAUGUAAUUAAUUUGUACAUCAUGGUUGGGUUUAGAAUCCACAUUUAGGUAAUACAGGUUAGGUUGUAAAUUUUUAUUCAUUUAGGAAAUAUUCUUGAAUAUAUUAAAUUUGUAUAAUUAUGCAUGAAUUAAAACUGAACUGUGUAUCGAUAAUUUUGUGAUAUGUCAGAUAAAGGAAGUGAAUAAUUGAUUAACUGCUCAACCCUGUCCUUGUUUUGAUGCUUUACAUUUAUGUGCCAACAUUAUUUUUAUCACUUUUAAACACUGAAUUCUCUUUUCUUUGGGUUUUUUUCUUGUCAUUGUCAUUCAUUCAUACAUUUCCUAAGUACAAUAUCUAUAUAUCCUAUUAUUUUACGCUGAUUUAAUUUUCGCAUUUUUUGUAAUUUAUUUUAUGUCGCAAAAUCCAAUACAUAGAAAUUAUAUUUGGAAUGGCAUGUUACGGUAUUAAAAACUUAAAAUGACUGACGCAAAUAUAAAAAAGUUAUGACACAUGAAAAAUAAACCCCACUGAUUGAUAUACAUGGCUUUGUACCCUCCUUGUUUGAGUUAUGAAUUUCUCAACUAGCUUUUUUUUACCAGAGGAACACGUGAAAUUAAUGUUAAAUGUUGAAAUUGUCAUAUUGAAAUAACAUAACUAAGAUAACACAUACACUGGAAUUUGAUAAUGUGAAAAUCAUUUUUAUAUUACAAUGAUUUAAUUAGCAAUAUUAUUUUACAUAAAAUUAAUGUAUGUUAAAGUUCAUGAAUUUCACGUGUGUAUCCUUUUCAAAUGAAAUCCAUAUGAAACAAUUAAUAAGCUUAAUUUUAACAUAUUUUCAAAGCUUAACUUGAAAGCAAAAAAUCUUAACUUGUAACAGAUAUUGCUUGAUUUGUUUCUGUGAUUGUACAUAAUGUUUUUAUUUAUGGUUAUGAAUAAAGUUGUAAUUGUU
rnacentral:sRNA from 1 species